UUAAUUCAAAUUUGGAUGGAGUUGGAACGUUUGCGUACGUUUGCCGCUAGGGGCGCUGUUCCAACUGAAUACAAAUUUGAGUUA
rnacentral:pre_miRNA from 1 species